rnacentral:rRNA from 1 species
AUUGAACGCUGGCGGCAGGCCUAACACAUGCAAGUCGAACGAGUGGCGGACGGGUGAGUAAUGUCUGGGAAACUGCCUGAUGGAGGGGGAUAACUACUGGAAACGGUAGCUAAUACCGCAUACCAUCAGAUGUGCCCAGAUGGGAUUCGCUUGUUGGUGGGGUAACGGCUCACAAAGGCGACGAUCCCUAGGUGGGCUGAGAGGAUGACCAGCGACACUGGACAGUAGACACGGUCCAGACUCGUACGGGAGGCAGCAUUGGGGAAUAUUGCACAAUGGGCGCAAGCCUGAUGCAGCCAUGCCGCGGGUAUGAAGAAGGCCUUCGGGUUGUAAAGUACUUUCAGCGGGGAGGCGUUACCCGCAGAAGAAGCACCGGCUAACUCCGUGCCAGCCGCCGCGGUAAUUC